rnacentral:rRNA from 1 species
GUCGAACGCUGGCGGCGUGCCUAACACAUGCAAGUCGAACGAAGUGGCGAACGGGGGAGUAAUACGUGAGUAACCUGCCAUCCUUUUUGGGAUAAGCCUUGGAAACGGGGUCUAAUACCGAAUAAAGGGGGAUGGGGUCGCGGCCGAUCAGCUUGUGGGUGGGGUGAUGACCUAACAAGGCGGUGAAGGGUAGCCGGCCUGAGAAGGCGGCCUGCCACAAUAGGACUGGUAUACGUCCCAGACAGAUACGGGAGGCGGCAGUUGAGGAUAAUGCGCAAUGGGCGAAAGCCUGAUGCAGCGACGCCGCGUGGGGGAUGAAGGCUUUCGGGUGGUAAACCUCUUUCGCUAUCGUACGGGUAGGUGCAGAAGAAGCGCCGGCUAACUACGUGCCAGCAGCCGCGGUAAUAC